UCUAAGGAAAUGAACACAUCAGAAGUCCAAAAGCCCCAAUCCCCAAUUCGGCUACACAAGUACACAACCCUUCUCCCAAAAUCAGAUAUUCAGAUCCCUCUUUUGCUUUCCUCUCAAAUCCCUUUCUCAUUUCACAAACUUCAUCUUCUCCUUUUCUCAUUUCAGAUCCCUCUUUUGCUUUCCUCUCAAAUCAGCAACCCUACUACAAGACUCAACUUUACACUAGUAUGGAGACUCACCUUUGAGCAUUGAUUAGCCAGUUUCGUUCACGAUGCACUAUCUGUGUGAGAAUUGGUAUGUUAAUUACACAGUAUUGGAGGAGUGAUUUGGAUUUUUGCCCAAUCUUCAAGCUACAGUGAUUUGGAUUUUUGCCCAAUCUUCAAGCUGCAGUGAUUCCUUUCAGUUGUUGUAGUAUAUUGCACUGAUUUGGAUUUUUGUUUUUGCUACAUCUGACAUUUUAUGGCCAUUUGACAUUUUAGUUAUAUUAUAAAGUUAAAACUUCAAA